rnacentral:rRNA from 1 species
AUUGAACGCUGGCGGCAGGCCUAACACAUGCAAGUCGAGCGGAUGAAGAGAGCUUGCUCUCUGAUUUAGCGGCGGACGGGUGAGUAAUGCCUAGGAAUCUGCCUGGUAGUGGGGGAUAACGUUCCGAAAGGAACGCUAAUACCGCAUACGUCCUACGGGAGAAAGCAGGGGACCUUCGGGCCUUGCGCUAUCAGAUGAGCCUAGGUCGGAUUAGCUAGUUGGUGAGGUCAUGGCUCACCAAGGCGACGAUACGUAACUGGUCUGAGAGGAUGAUCAGUCACACUGGAACUGAGACACGGUCCAGACUCCUACGGGAGGCAGCAGUGGGGAAGAUUGGACAAUGGGCGAAAGCCUGAUCCAGCCAUGCCGCGUGUGUGAAGAAGGUCUUCGGAUUGUAAAGCACUUUAAGUUGGGAGGAAGGGCAGUAAGUUAAUACCUUGCUGUUUUGACGUUACCGACAGAAUAAGCACCGGCUAACUUCGUGCCAGCCGCCGCGGUAAAAC